rnacentral:lncRNA from 1 species
AUGACACAUGAACCAAUGAGUGGACAACACCUUGUCCAUUGCUUCACCAAGCAAGAUGCAGCAUAUUCGAUCUCCAAGUCUUGUGGCCUCAUCUAAUAGUUAUUGACAUAUUUCUUAAUUAAGUCAGACCUACCAUUCAUUAAUGGGUACAAAACUAUCAUUGGGUCCCUCACCUAAUAGUUAUUGGGCCCAAUCCUAUCUCCACCCUGGGGCAUCAGAUGUUAAUAGAGUGGCUGUGUCUCCCUGAUGCAAUUGAACCAUUAUAACCAGCCAAGAAUGAUCAACAUCAGGAAAGGCAUCCGCAUCUCUACAAUAGUGAAAGAUCGCUAGACUUAAUAUUUAAUUAAGAAGAUUUAAUUUAGGUCUUAUCUACUUAGUCACAUAUAUUAACUAUAAUGACUAAACAGGUUUAGGUUAGCCCAUCUCAUGUCUGACCCACCUAGCUAGUAUGGGUGAACACAAAUUACUAAUCCAUCAGACUCAAUCCAUAAUCUACCAAAUAGCCAGGUAAGUA